AAGUGAAAGAAAGGUAAAUUCUAUCUGCCAUAGUGGAAAGUCCACAGACAAUGCCUAAGACUGGGGGAAAAUUUCAAGAAAUAGUAGUGUGAGAAUGUUAUUUAGAAGUAUGUAGAUAAAGAUCAAAAGACUUAACUAAAAGGAAUUUUAAGUAGCUGUUGCUGAGAAGAGGGAAUUUGGCAAGAAACAAACUGUUUUUCAUAACUAGUGCUAUAGGACUAGUUGAAUUUUUAAACUGUGCAUUUUUACUGUGAUAACACAAACUAAAUUAAACAAAAUGAUUUUUUUAUUUCUAAUAAUGUUCUAACCAUGUUUGUUUCUAGGCAAUAUGUGUGACUUCACAGUCCUCUGUACUUCAGAAAGGUGGAUGAUUAAGUCCAGGUAUUAUAAUAAGUGCAGAUAUUGUUAGCACCCUUGGCGUCUCUUUGCAAUUAGAGUCUCUACUUUUCAUUCCAGGUAAGGACAUGCCUUUAUGUUUAACCAUUCCAUUUUUUGAGUUCUCUACAUACCAUUCUAAUAGUUAGGCACUCAGGCAGCUGAACAAACUACGGAGGAAGGAGCAUCCAAAUUAAAUGUGCCCAUCCUUUCUGUCUUUCCAUCAUUACUCUUGAGCAGGGGGCAAAAACAAACACGCAAAUCAAGAAUGGAGUGAUUCAUUCUUCUUCAGCAAAUUCUUAGUCCUCAUCUCACUUGGACUCCUGCAUGGUGAUGGCAUGAGCACUAGAGCUGCAGGAUUUAAGAAACGGAGGGAAAAUGAUGGAUUCACAUUCACUUGGACAUAACAGGCAUCUACUUUCAUCAAAGCAGAAGGGGCCACCGAUAUGGUCCUGGAGGGCCGCCCCUCCUCACUGCAGCCUGCCUGCUCCCCUUCUGCCUCUGUGUCCAGCUGGAGCCCAAUGCCUGCUGUUCACUUCUCUAACUUCUGCCUCCUCAGCUGUUCUAGAGCAUGGCAAAUUGUCAGUCCUCAAAAGAUACUUGCUGCACAAUGGAUAGCUCGUUUUUGGAUGGAUUGCGUUCAUCGAGCCAGCUGCCAGCAUAGGAAGGAAAGCAGGAGAGAGACCUGGGCCCUGACCUUCCUUCGUCACCAUCAGCUUGUGACAUCUUCUCAGGCCAGCCCUAGCCAACUCUGUGACUGUUUCCACAGGUGUCGAUGUUGGCAUCAUGUCUAACUUCUGCUGCUUCCCAAGGUCGCCAUGAUCAUCUCAUUAGUGAGCAGAUGUAAAGUAUUUGUAAAAAGGCAUCAUACAAAAACAAAGUUCAUUGUUAUUCAUCCUUUUCCUUCCCAAAUACACUAGACUUCUUUAAAACAUUAAAGCAAAGUGAGGCCAA